UUUUAUGAGAGUUUGAUCCUGGCUCAGGACGAACGCUGGCGGCGUGCCUAAUACAUGCAAGUCGAACGCUUCUUUUUCCACCGGAGCUUGCUCCACCGGAAAAAGAGGAGUGGCGAACGGGUGAGUAACACGUGGGUAACCUGCCCAUCAGAAGGGGAUAACACUUGGAAACAGGUGCUAAUACCGUAUAACAAUCAAAACCGCAUGGUUUUGAUUUGAAAGGCGCUUUCGGGUGUCGCUGAUGGAUGGACCCGCGGUGCAUUAGCUAGUUGGUGAGGUAACGGCUCACCAAGGCCACGAUGCAUAGCCGACCUGAGAGGGUGAUCGGCCACAUUGGGACUGAGACACGGCCCAAACUCCUACGGGAGGCAGCAGUAGGGAAUCUUCGGCAAUGGACGAAAGUCUGACCGAGCAACGCCGCGUGAGUGAAGAAGGUUUUCGGAUCGUAAAACUCUGUUGUUAGAGAAGAACAAGGAUGAGAGUAACUGUUCAUCCCUUGACGGUAUCUAACCAGAAAGCCACGGCUAACUACGUGCCAGCAGCCGCGGUAAUACGUAGGUGGCAAGCGUUGUCCGGAUUUAUUGGGCGUAAAGCGAGCGCAGGCGGUUUCUUAAGUCUGAUGUGAAAGCCCCCGGCUCAACCGGGGAGGGUCAUUGGAAACUGGGAGACUUGAGUGCAGAAGAGGAGAGUGGAAUUCCAUGUGUAGCGGUGAAAUGCGUAGAUAUAUGGAGGAACACCAGUGGCGAAGGCGGCUCUCUGGUCUGUAACUGACGCUGAGGCUCGAAAGCGUGGGGAGCAAACAGGAUUAGAUACCCUGGUAGUCCACGCCGUAAACGAUGAGUGCUAAGUGUUGGAGGGUUUCCGCCCUUCAGUGCUGCAGCUAACGCAUUAAGCACUCCGCCUGGGGAGUACGACCGCAAGGUUGAAACUCAAAGGAAUUGACGGGGGCCCGCACAAGCGGUGGAGCAUGUGGUUUAAUUCGAAGCAACGCGAAGAACCUUACCAGGUCUUGACAUCCUUUGA
rnacentral:rRNA from 1 species